rnacentral:rRNA from 1 species
UACGUAGGGUGCAAGCGUUAUCCGGAUUUACUGGGCGUAAAGCGUCUGUAGGUGGAUUGGUAAGUGUUGGGUUAAAGACUGGGGCUUAACCUCAGAAAAGCUCAGCAUACUGCCAUUCUGGAGUGUAUUCGGGGAGGUUGGAAUUCUCGGUGGAGGGGUGAAAUCCGUUGAUAUCGAGAGGAACGCCAAGGGUGAAGACAGGCCUCUAGGGUACUACUGACACUGAGAGACGAAAGCUAGGGUAGCAAACCGG